UACGUAGGGUGCAGGCGUUAAUCGGAAUUACUGGGCGUAAAGCGUGCGCAGGCGGUUUUCUAAGUCAGAUGUGAAAUCCCCGGGCUUAACCUUGGAACUGCGUUUGAAACUGGGAGGCUAUAGUGCGGCAGAGGGGGGUGGAAUUCCACGUGUAGCAGUGAAAUGCGUAGAUAUGUGGAGGAACACCGAUGGCGGAGGCAGCCCCCUGGGCCUGCACUGACGCUCAUGCACGAAAGCGUGGGGAGCAAACAUG
rnacentral:rRNA from 1 species